ensembl:lncRNA
CCACAAUCCUUUCCCCUGGAGUGUGCCAGCCACCACCAACCUGACUUCCAAAAUCAGUCUUUCAGCAAUGAUGGAACACAAUAUUCUAAGAAGAUUUAAAUCUGCUCAAGUAUUGAGUUUCUUUCUUUGGCAUUUUAUUCUAUGAAACUUUCUAUCUCUUUACUCGAAAUCAAACAGCACAAUUUUAUGGAGCGACUGGCCUGUGGAAGACCUCACAGAGGAAUAGUUUGUGAACCAAGGCAAUAGAGCCCUGCUUGCCAUGCAGCGGGGGAAAACAAUGAGCUAAAUCCCCAGCCGCCUGUGUCUUUUAAGAUGUCGAUAAAUAUCCAUCAACGGUAAAGCGGACUAAUACAAUGGGAAAGUGAGAUUAGGAGGAAUAGCCAGAGCACAACUCAUGUGACCAUGCAUGACAGCCCUCAGAUUGACAUCUCAUCAAAGUGAGUUUUGGUCAAAAAAAGUUGGAGAAUCACUUCUUUAGAGCCACCUCUAAGCUGAGCAUGAUAGUGCAUACCUGGAAUCCAAGCUAUCUGGAAGGCUGAGAGAAG